GUAACAGCGAGUGAAGAGGGAUGAGCCCAGCACCGAAUCCAGCUUUGUUUCAUUGCUGUGAAAUGUGGUGUUUAGGGCGUCUUUUGUGCUUUGUGACCUGCCCUAAGUCUACUUGAUUGUAGCUUUUGGCCCAUAGAAGGUGUAAGGCCUGUAUGGUUGGGUUGCUUAGUAUCCGAGGCGCCCUUAGAGUCGGGUUGUUUGAAAAUGCAGCCCAAAGCGGGUGGUAAACUCCAUCCAAGGCUAAAUACAAGCACUAGUCCGAUAGCAAACAAGUACCGUGAGGGAAAGUUGAAAAGAACUUUGAAGAGAGAGUUCAAUAGUACGUGAAACCGCUCAGAGGUAAACGGGUGGAGCCGAAAUUGACUUUGGGGUCUCAGCUGAUUGGAACGUUAGGUGUUUUGUGAUGCCAAAUUGCAGCUAUAGCUUUUGGUGUCCGAGUGUCCGCGUUCUAGUCAGUGCACUAUCCCUUAGUCUUCACUACGACCGGUCGGGCCGUUGGUCUGCUGUUCGGGGAUGGUAGGGUUGACUCUUGUAGUUGACUUGAUGACCCUGGAUGCGGAGUCAGCGGUGGACCGGAGACAGCGAUGCAAGCACCCCGUGCACACAAGUUUUGCUGCGUCGAGUACUGUCGGGGAUUAUACUGGCUUCCAGUUCUUUCCUGGCGGUGCCGGCUGACGGCGGGGCCUCUGUGAUUUGUGUCUAAAGUCAGUAGUGUGAAUGUAGGUAGCCCACCCGGCCCGUCUUGAAACACGGACCAAGAAGUCCAACAUGUGCGCGAGUCAUUGGGCGUUACGAAACCCAAAGGCGAAGUGAAAGUAAAGGUCAGUGCUACUGGCUUAGGUGUGAUCCGGUCAUGGGUUUCUGAUCCAUCCGGCGCAACACCGGCCCGUCCCAUGAUGUGCUACAUCGGGGCGGAGCAAGAGCGUACAUGUUGGGACCCGAAAGAUGGUGAACUAUGCUUGCGCAGGAUGAAGCCAGGGGAAACUCUGGUGGAAGUCCGUAGCGGUUCUGACGUGCAAAUCGAUCGUCAGACGUGAGUAUAGGGGCGAAAGACUAAUCGAACCAUCUAGUAGCUGGUUCCCUCCGAAGUUUCCCUCAGGAUAGCUGGCACUUGGUAAUCAGUUUUAUCCGGUAAAGCGAAUGAUUAGAGGUACUGGGGCCGAAAUGGUUUCAACCUAUUCUCAAACUUUAAAUGGGUAAGACGUCUGUCUCUCUUAAUUGGAGAUGGACCUUGAAUGAGAGUGCCUAGUGGGCCAUUUUUGGUAAGCAGAACUGGCGCUGUGGGAUGAACCAAACGUCUGGUUAAGGUGCCUAACAUAUCGCUCAUCAGAUACCACAAAAGGUGUUGGUUGGUCCAGACAGCAGGACGGUGGCCAUGGAAGUUGGAAUCCGCUAAGGAGUGUGUAACAACUCACCUGCCGAAUCAACCAGCCCUGAAAAUGGAUGGCGCUGGAGCGAUGGACCUAUACCGGACCGAUAUAGCAAGCUUGUGAAGCAAGGAAGCUGUAUCGAGUAGGAGGGCCGCCGUGGUGAGCGUGGAAGCUGUCGCCGUGAGGCGAGGUGGAGCCGCCACGGGUGCAGAUCUGG
rnacentral:rRNA from 1 species